GCCCUUAAAGGGAGAUUAAUACCGCAUAAUAUUGCAGCUUCGCAUGNAGCAGNAAUUAAAGGAGNAAUCCGCUUUGAGAUGGACCCGCGGCGCAUUAGCUAGUUGGAGAGGUAACGGCUCACCAAGGCGACGAUGCGUAGCCGACCUGAGAGGGUGAUCGGCCACAUUGGAACUGAGACACGGUCCAGACUCCUACGGGAGGCAGCAGUGGGGAAUAUUGCACAAUGGGCGAAAGCCUGANGCAGCAACGCCGCGUGAGUGAAGACGGUCUUCGGAUUGUAAAGCUCUGUCUUUUGGGACGAUAAUGACGGUACCAAAGGAGGAAGCCACGGCUAACUACGUGCCAGCAGCCGCGGUAAUACGUAGGUGGCAAGCGUUGUCCGGAUUUACUGGGCGUAAAGGAUGNGUAGGCGGAUAUUUAAGUGAGAUGUGAAAUCCCCGUGCUCAACAUGGGGGCUGCAUUUCAAACUGGGUAUCUAGAGUGCAGGAGAGGAAAGCGGAAUUCCUAGUGUAGCGGUGAAAUGCGUAGAGAUUAGGAAGAACAUCAGUGGCGAAGGCGGCUUUCUGGACUGUAACUGACGCUGAGGCAUGAAAGCGUGGGGAGCAAACAGGAUUAGAUACCCUGGUAGUCCACGCCGUAAACGAUGAGUACUAGGUGUAGGAGGUAUCGACUCC
rnacentral:rRNA from 1 species